rnacentral:ncRNA from 1 species
GAAAAAACAAUGACAAGGACAGUAAUUUAUAAUACCAUUUUUCAGAGAGGGAUAUGCGGUGAAAUUAUCCUAAAUGCCUAUAGAUGAAAACCACCUUGAAGUGACUUUAAUACAGUACGGCUGAGCACCGUUAAAAGCUUUCUAUGAGACCUGAAUUUUUAGGUAAAGUAGGGUGGAACCACGAAUGUUAUACGCUCGUCCCUUCA